UCAGAUUGAACGCUGGCGGCAGGCCUAACACAUGCAAGUCGAACGGUAGCACAGAGGAGCUUGCUCCUUGGGUGACGAGUGGCGGACGGGUGAGUAAUGUCUGGGGAUCUGCCCGAUGGAGGGGGAUAACUACUGGAAACGGUAGCUAAUACCGCAUAACGUCGCAAGACCAAAGUGGGGGACCUUCGGGCCUCACACCAUCGGAUGAACCCAGAUGGGAUUAGCUAGUAGGUGGGGUAACGGCUCACCUAGGCGACGAUCCCUAGCUGGUCUGAGAGGAUGACCAGCCACACUGGAACUGAGACACGGUCCAGACUCCUACGGGAGGCAGCAGUGGGGAAUAUUGCACAAUGGGCGCAAGCCUGAUGCAGCCAUGCCGCGUGUAUGAAGAAGGCCUUCGGGUUGUAAAGUACUUUCAGCGGGGAGGAAGGUGGUGAGGUUAAUAAGCUCAUCAAUUGACGUUACCCGCAGAAGAAGCACCGGCUAACUCCGUGCCAGCAGCCGCGGUAAUACGGAGGGUGCAAGCGUUAAUCGGAAUUACUGGGCGUAAAGCGCACGCAGGCGGUCUGUCAAGUCGGAUGUGAAAUCCCCGGGCUUAACCUGGGAACUGCAUUCGAAACUGGCAGGCUCGAGUCUCGUAGAGGGGGGUAGAAUUCCAGGUGUAGCGGUGAAAUGCGUAGAGAUCUGGAGGAAUACCGGUGGCGAAGGCGGCCCCCUGGACGAAGACUGACGCUCAGGUGCGAAAGCGUGGGGAGCAAACAGGAUUAGAUACCCUGGUAGUCCACGCCGUAAACGAUGUCGACUUGGAGGUUGUGCCCUUGAGGCGUGGCUUCCGGAGCUAACGCGUUAAGUCGACCGCCUGGGGAGUACGGCCGCAAGGUUAAAACUCAAAUGAAUUGACGGGGGCCCGCACAAGCGGUGGAGCAUGUGGUUUAAUUCGAUGCAACGCGAAGAACCUUACCUGGCCUUGACAUCCAGAGAACUUAGCAGAGAUGCUUUGGUGCCUUCGGGAACUCUGAGACAGGUGCUGCAUGGCUGUCGUCAGCUCGUGUUGUGAAAUGUUGGGUUAAGUCCCGCAACGAGCGCAACCCUUAUCCUUUGUUGCCAGCGAUUCGGUCGGGAACUCAAAGGAGACUGCCGGUGAUAAACCGGAGGAAGGUGGGGAUGACGUCAAGUCAUCAUGGCCCUUACGGCCAGGGCUACACACGUGCUACAAUGGCGCAUACAAAGAGAAGCGACCUCGCGAGAGCAAGCGGACCUCAUAAAGUGCGUCGUAGUCCGGAUUGGAGUCUGCAACUCGACUCCAUGAAGUCGGAAUCGCUAGUAAUCGUAGAUCAGAAUGCUACGGUGAAUACGUUCCCGGGCCUUGUACACACCGCCCGUCACACCAUGGGGAGUGGGUUGCAAAAAGAAGUAGGUAGCUUAACCUUUCGGGAGGGCGCUUACCACUUUGUGAUUCAUGACUGGGGGUGAA
rnacentral:rRNA from 1 species